CACACAGGGACAGUUAUUUUUUGUUCUCACUCAGCUCCUCUUUCACAUGCAGGCAGGCACACAUGCACACACACACACACACACACUGCAUCCCUCCCGUUCUGUUGCACUUAAGUCCAGAUUUGCUCUGACCAUUCCCGCACGCAAGCGGAGAGCGACACAACACCACGGUGCCUACGACCAUAGAAACUGCCACAGAGGUGGGGGGCAGAGAGCGUCUUCAAGGUUGCUGUCAUCUGGAAUUUUAUGUCCUUCAUUUUCUUUCACUCUGUAUGCCUGUCACAUCAGCUUAACUAUCACAGAAGACCCUGUUUGCCUUCAAGCCUGCCUGGUUUCUUGCAGCCUUAUUGUCUCAUGUGAAAAAAGAAGAUAUGACUUCCUACAGUCCUGGGCUGUAACUCUGCAAGUCAGCUUGGAGAUUGGAAAAACUGUAGUGCUUCUUGGGAAGAAUAUAUAUUUUCAUUUCUGCAGUGCGAGCAACGUCAUUAAUCCUGCACAAGCAGAUAUGCGUCACUCUUAGAUGUGACUAUUUUUCAGAAUUGAUGCAAAAAAUGCAACCUAUUGUGAUUUGUGUUUUAAAGAAGUGUAGCAGAGGCUGAUCAGCACUGUGUCCACAGUCUGGAGGCAAAGUCCUGUGCUUAUACAGGCAAAUUACAGAUCUGGAUGAACAGCAAGAGCAAGCCCUUCAUUCCUGGAGAAUUUUCUCUACUGCCAUGUCCGGUUAUAUAAAAUAUGACAUUCAAAUGGGGGGAGGGGUGGGCCUAAUCCUAGUCCAAGUUAAGCGUGUCUAACUUCAAAGUUUUAUGCUUUGACACUAUCCACAUUGAGACAGAUACUGCAUGUUGCUCACUCUUCUUCCUCUUCACACGUUUAUCGCUGAGAAGUAGUUGUACAAAAUUGCAUUAGAAAGCGGUGCUUUGAGAGACUGUAUCCCCAUUUCCUCCAGUAAAGCACAGUCAUACAGACCUUAAAA